rnacentral:misc_RNA from 1 species
GAUGAAGAACGCAGCGAAAUGCGAUAAGUAAUGUGAAUUGCAGAAUUCAGUGAAUCAUCGAAUCUUUGAACGCACAUUGCGCCCGCCAGUAUUCUGGCGGGCAUGCCUGUCUGAGCGUCAUUUCAACCCUCAUGCCCCUAGGGCGUGGUGUUGGGGAUCGGCCAAAGCCCGCGAGGGACGGCCGGCCCCUAAAUCUAGUGGCGGACCCGUCGUGGCCUCCUCUGCGAAGUAGUGAUAUUCCGCAUCGGAGAGCGACGAGCCCCUGCCGUUAAACCCCCAACUUUCCAAGGUUGACCUCAGAUCAGGUAGGAAUACCCGCUGAACUUAAGCAUAUCAAUAAGCGGAGG